UGAAGGAACGUUGAAGACGACGACGUUGAUAGGCCGGGUGUGUAAGCGCAGCGAUGCGUUGAGCUAACCGGUACUAAUGAACCGUGAGGCUUAACCUU
rnacentral:rRNA from 5 species